CCGCUAAGCCAUUUCCUCAUCCCUCAAACUACUUUUUAAAACUACUGUUUUGGGGCUGGCUGGAGAGAUGGCUUAGCAGU
rnacentral:miRNA from 1 species